rnacentral:rRNA from 1 species
GACAGAGGGUGCAAACGUUGUUCGGAAUUACUGGGCGUAACGCGCGUGUAGGCUGCUUCGCAAGUCGGCUGUGAAAGCCCUGGGCUCAACCCAGGAAGUGCAUUCGAAACUGCAGAGCUGGAGUCCUGGAGAGGAAGGCGGAAUUCUCGGUGUAGAGGUGAAAUUCGUAGAUAUCGAGAGGAACACCGGUGGCGAAGGCGGCCUUCUGGACAGUGACUGACGCUGAGACGCGAAAGCGUGGGGAGCAAACAGG